rnacentral:rRNA from 1 species
GCAAGUCGAACGAAGUAGCAAUACUUAGUGGCAGACGGGUGAGUAACAUGUAGGUAUCUGCCCUUUGGCCUGGAAUAACACGAGGAAACUUGUGCUAAUACCGGAUAAGUCCUUACGGAGAAAGCUUUAUGCACCAUUGGAUGAGCCUGCACUUGAUUAGUUUGUUGGUGGGGUAAUGGCCUACCAAGACUGUGAUCAAUAGCUGAUUUGAGAGGAUGAUCAGCCACAUUGGGACUGAGACACGGCCCAAACUCCUACGGGAGGCAGCAGUGGGGAAUCUUGCACAAUGGAGGAAACUCUGAUGCAGCGAUGCCGCGUGAGUGAAGAAGGCCCUUGGGUUGUAAAGCUCUUUCGUCGGGGAAGAAAAUGACUGUACCCGAAUAAGAAGGUCCGGCUAACCUCGUGCCUGCAGCCGCGGUAAUACGAAGGGACCUAGCGUAGUUCGGAAUUACUGGGCUUAAAGAGUUCGUAGGUGGUUGAAAAAGUUAGUGGUGAAAUCCCAGAGCUUAACUCUGGAACUGCCAUUAAAACUUUUCAGCUAGAGUAUGAUAGAGGAAAGUAGAAUUUCUAGUGUAGAGGUGAAAUUCGUAGAUAUUAGAAAGAAUACCAAUUGCGAAGGCAGCUUUCUGGAUCAUUACUGACACUGAGGAACGAAAGCAUGGGUAGCGAAGAGGAUUAGGUACCCUCGUAGUCCAUGCCGUAAACGAUGUGUGUUAGACGUUGGAAAUUUAUUUUCAGUGUCGCAGGGAAACCGAUAAACACACCGCCUGGGGAGUACGACCGCAAGGUUAAAACUCAAAUGAAUUGACGGGGACCCGCACAAGUAGUGGAGCAUGUGGUUUAUUUCGAAGAUACGCGCAGAACCUUACCAGCACUUGACAUGUUCGUCGCGAC